rnacentral:rRNA from 1 species
GACGAACGCUGGCGGCGUGCCUAAUACAUGCAAGUCGAACGCAGUGGGGACGGGUGAGUAACACGUGGGUAACCUCCCAUCAGAGGGGAUAACACUUGGAAACAGGUGCUAAACCGAUACUGAUGGAUGGACCCGCGGUGCAUUAGCUAGUUGGUGAGGUAACGGCUCACCAAGGCCACGAUGCAUAGCCGACCUGGGAGGGGGAGCGGCCAAACGGGAACGAGGACACGGCCCAGACUCCUACGGGAGGCAGCAGUGGGAAAUCUUCGGCAGUGGACGAAGUUCUGACGGAGCAACGCCGCGUGAGGGAGGAGGGUUUUCGGAUCGUAAAACUCUGUUGUUGGAGAAGCGGUAUCUAACCAGAAAGCCACGGCUAACUACGUGCCAGCCGCCGCGGUAAUUC